rnacentral:rRNA from 1 species
AAGUGCGAAUGCUGACAUAAGUAACGAUAAAACGGGUGAAAAACCCGUUCGCCGGAAGACCAAGGGUUCCUGUCCAACGUUAAUCGGGGCAGGGUGAGUCGGCUCCUAAGGCGAGGCUGAAAAGCGUAGUCGAUGGGAAACAGGUUAAUAUUCCUGUACUUGGUAAAGCUGCGAUGUGGGGACGGAGUAGGUUAGGUUAUCGCACUGUUGGAUAUGUGCGUUUAAGUUGGUAGGUGGGAAGUUUAGGCAAAUCCGGGCUUCCUUAACACAGAGAGAUGAUGACGAGGCUCUACGGAGCUGAAGUAACUGAUACCACACUUCCAGGAAAAGCCACUAAGCGAAAGGCUUUACUAAACCGUACUGAAAACCGACACAGGUGGUCAGGUAGAGAAUACUCAGGCGCUUGAGAGAACUCGGGUGAAGGAACUAGGCAAAAUAGCACCGUAACUUCGGGAGAAGGUGCGCCGGCGUAGAUUGUAAGGGCUAGUCCCUGAAGGUUGAACCGGUCGAAGAUACCAGCUGGCUGCAACUGUUUAUUAAAAACACAGCACUCUGCAAACACGAAAGUGGACGUAUAGGGUGUGAUGCCUGCCCGGUGCUGGAAGGUUAAUUGAUGGUGUCAUCGCAAGAGAAGCACCUGAUCGAAGCCCCAGUAAACGGCGGCCGUAACUAUAACGGUCCUAAGGUAGCGAAAUUCCUUGUCGGGUAAGUUCCGACCUGCACGAAUGGCAUAAUGAUGGCCAGGCUGUCUCCACCCGAGACUCAGUGAAAUUGAAAUCGCCGUGAAGAUGCGGUGUACCCGCGGCUAGACGGAAAGACCCCGUGAACCUUUACUAUAGCUUGACACUGAACAUUGAAUUUUGAUGUGUAGGAUAGGUGGGAGACUAAGAAGUAGUCACGCCAGUGAUUAUGGAGUCAUCCUUGAAAUACCACCCUUUAACGUUUGAUGUUCUAACGAAGAUGACGAAACGUGGUCUCGGACAGUGUCUGGUGGGUAGUUUGACUGGGGCGGUCUCCUCCCAAAGCGUAACGGAGGAGCACGAAGGUUUGCUAAUCACGGUCGGACAUCGUGAGGUUAGUGCAAUGGUAUAAGCAAGCUUAACUGCGAGACAGACAAGUCGAGCAGGUACGAAAGUAGGUCAUAGUGAUCCGGUGGUUCUGAAUGGAAGGGCCAUCGCUCAACGGAUAAAAGGUACUCCGGGGAUAACAGGCUGAUACCGCCCAAGAGUUCAUAUCGACGGCGGUGUUUGGCACCUCGAUGUCGGCUCAUCACAUCCUGGGGCUGAAGUAGGUCCCAAGGGUAUGGCUGUUCGCCAUUUAAAGUGGUACGCGAGCUGGGUUUAGAACGUCGUGAGACAGUUCGGUCCCUAUCUGCCGUGGGCGUAGGAGAAUUGAUUGGGGCUGCUCCUAGUACGAGAGGACCGGAGUGGACGCACCACUGGUGUUCCGGUUGUGUCGCCAGACGCAUUGCCGGGUAGCUAAGUGCGGAAGAGAUAAGUGCUGAAAGCAUCUAAGCACGAAACUUGCCAAGAGAUGAGUUCUCCCAAUC